rnacentral:rRNA from 1 species
CCUACGGGAUGCAGCAGUGGGGAAUAUUGCGCAAUGGGCGAAAGCCUGACGCAGCAAUUCCGCGUGUAUGAAGAAGGCCUUCGGGUUGUAAAGUACUUUCAGCGGGGAGGAAGGGAGUAAAGUUAAUACCUUUGCUCAUUGACGUUACCCGCAGAAGAAGCACCGGCUAACUCCGUGCCAGCAGCCGCGGUAAUACGGAGGGUGCAAGCGUUAAUCGGAAUUACUGGGCGUAAAGCGCACGCAGGCGGUUUGUUAAGUCAAAUGUGAAAUCCCCGGGCUCAACCUGGGAACUGCAUCUGAUACUGGCAAGCUUGAGUCUCGUAGAGGGGGGUAGAAUUCCAGGUGUAGCGGUGAAAUGCGUAGAGAUCUGGAGGAAUACCGGUGGCGAAGGCGGCCCCCUGGACGAAGACUGACGCUCAGGUGCGAAAGCGUGGGGAGCAAACAGGAUUAGAUACCCGGGUAGUC